UGGGGAAUAUUGCACAAUGGGCGCAAGCCUGAUGCAGCCAUGCCGCGUGUGUGAAGAAGGCCUUCGGGUUGUAAAGCACUUUCAGCGAGGAGGAAGGUGGUGAACUUAAUACGCUCAUCAAUUGACGUUACUCGCAGAAGAAGCACCGGCUAACUCCGUGCCAGCAGCCGCGGUAAUACGGAGGGUGCAAGCGUUAAUCGGAAUUACUGGGCGUAAAGCGCACGCAGGCGGUUUGUUAAGUCAGAUGUGAAAUCCCCGGGCUCAACCUGGGAACUGCAUUUGAAACUGGCAAGCUAGAGUCUCGUAGAGGGGGGUAGAAUUCCAGGUGUAGCGGUGAAAUGCGUAGAGAUCUGGAGGAAUACCGGUGGCGAAGGCGGCCCCCUGGACGAAGACUGACGCUCAGGUGCGAAAAGCGUGGGGCAGCAAACAGGAUUAGAUACCCUGGUAGUCCACGCUGUAAAACGAUGUCGAUUUUGGAGGUUGUGCCCCUUGAGGCGUGGNUUCCGGAGCUAACGNGUUAAAUCGACCGCCNGGGGNGUACGGCCNCAAGGUUAAAACUUAAAUGAAUUGCGGGGUCUAGCUG
rnacentral:rRNA from 1 species